UCGGCCCUGACUGGAACUUUCGGCCGGGGCGCGCCCCCCGCGGGCAGGGGCUGAGGCGCGGCCGCUGCGAGCGGCUCCCACCUGUGCUGGAGCCCCGGCACCUGGGGGCUACUUGUACUUAUUGGCUUCGUUUUUAAAUAAAUAAAUAAAUAAAAGCAAUACCGGGACGCGAUGAACGCGCCGUGGCCCAAAGCAAUCUGCGAAUUGACAUGAGCUUGAAAAAAGCUUGCUGCUGUUUGUGUAAUUUUGCGAAAGCUUUAUCUGUUGAUCCCGUAACAAACACGGCGCUGCUUGGCAUUUACGUUUGUAUACACACAGCAGUCUGUCAGAAAACGCCACCAAACAGGCUACUGAGCUGAGACCUCCGAUGUGAAACUGUAGCCUACAGUUAAUUUUUUUAUAAGUACAACUCCCUGACAAGCAUCAGUGUUGACCUCAGAAACGCUGACGAAGCCUGAGCAAUAGGUACCUGAGCAGUGUCAACGCAAUGAGAGAAAUAUGUUGCAAGUUUGUGCUGCAGGUGCUCUGUCCCUGCCAAGAACAUUUUAUCCUGUUAUCAUACCUAAUUAAACAUUAAAAGCAACUGUGUACUCGAAAAUGUCCCCAGCUGUGGAGGGCAAUUGAUUGGCAAUCUGUUUGUUUGUGUGUGCAAAAAAAAUAAUAAUAAAAGAAAGAAAUCUAGCAAACCAUCUAAAUGUGCAAAACCAGCCCUGAAAAGCAAACCUGUUAGACAUGGAAGAGGCUGUUCACUGUUGAUGUGAACAUAUGUGUACAUCAGCAACCCAUCUUGGGAGUCAACCACUUUUCUGCUACGUUUUCACAUCUCCAGCAGUCUCAUUACACUUUCUGCUGGUGUCACCACAUGUUUCCAGAGGUUACUUUCCAGAAGUAACAUCUCACCUCUGGUAUGCAGGUCCGCGACCGCUGAAAGCACCUCUUACUGUAGCACAUCCCGGUGUGUACCGCCGCGGUUCCAAACAACAUGCAGCGCAGGCCCUGGGCGAUGGCAGCAGAAGCCUCCUGGCGAAGGUGCCAUGGCGCUGACCUGGAUCACAGCAGCAUUUCAAUUCCCCGCUCCAUUCAAGCCUUGUGCUUUCUGGUGAAGCUGAGGCUCCUUCUGCAGCACGCACAGAAAUCCCAAUUAACUUGAGUGCUGAGCCAGGAACUCCUGCACAAAGUUCACUAAGGGCAGUGGGCAUCUCACAGGCUGCUGCCUUCAAGCACGCGGGUGCUGAGCUCCUCCGUUUCUGGUUCCUGGGGCCUUUGCUAGGAUGAUCUGUCCUCUGACUGGCUCUGGAUUACUCACUGACAGUUUUUAUUAGGUUGUCUUCUUGUGAAUCCAGGAGAGGCUUGUGGACAACCUGGGAACUUAGGCCAUCAGAGCACCUACAGAAAAGCUAAUUUAUUGUAUUUCAUGUUUGUUUGUUUUUUAACUUCUUAACGGUAGGUAACUCUAUUAUUAAUCAAACAGGGUGUGGAGAGCAUAUCCUGAGGGGCUCUGCCUGUGUGCUUGCACAAGGAAGGAUUCUGAGCAGCUGUUUUUAGGAGCCAAACAGUGGGAACUGCGGAGCUGAUGCUGUGUGAAGUCAGAAGCAUAAGCUCAAGUGGAGGAGCUUGUUGUCCUCCCAUAGCUCUGUCUUCUGAGCCACAAAUCAGCCCUCGUUCUGCCUCCAGCACAGUCUGAUGAUGCUGCUGCCAGCAGGUUGCAAGUUCCUACAGUAAGCCUCUCGCGAGAAAACAAUGAAAUCAUACUCUGAAAUCCACAAGUCUCAUAGGUUGUCCUGUUCUCUAAUCCUCUUUGACACGCCUGGUGAACAGGAGAAAGUGAGUAUUACAGCUAGUCCACAAUGACACUUGUGCUGACUGACUACCUACUGCCAAACAGAUCUGUAACAUCAAACAGACGUGUUUCAAGUGAUGUCAGUCUGGUUGUCUCUCCUAUCAAGCAGCCAAUUUUCAUGAAAUCAGAAGGAACUUAAUGAUCCUUGAGACUUCUA